AAUAAGCAGUGAACAGUGGAGCGCAUAUACAUAUACAUUCAUUAUAUAUAUGUAUUUUUAUGUAUAUUCAGGGGGAGAAAGUCGUUAGCAAAUUUGAUGAGAGUUGAAGCUGAGCCAAAUUUGCAGUAUUUGAUCUUCCAUUUCAUGUAUUACCCGGAUAGGCUCUUCCGAACAAGUUACCAGGUUCCUGUGUCUGGAGAAGCCUAAUUUUUGAAUGAAAAGAUGUUGCAGCGCCAAAUCAUGUUCAAACAGUUGCAAGAAAUGCAGCGAAGACAACAGCUCCAGGAGUUGAGCAACGCUAGAAACCAGAAUUAUGUAAAUCAACUAUCAUCACUGAAACAGGCAUCAGGUGGACAAUUUUCUCCGACGGUCAAUGGGACACCAAUGCAGGAUCCGCGAGGGAUAUUUAUGACGGGUAACAUGAUGCAACACAGUGGACCAAAUGAAUUAGUACUUGGACAAAGUCCGUCUGGCCUGACUCAGCCUCAUUUAGACAUAUCUUUAUAUGGGAAUCAUACUCCAACCCCCGACAAGAAUUUGAAUCAAUAUUCUCACCUUCAGGACCCGUCUAAUCUUUCAACCAAUCAGCUGACCAAGAAUAAUAGUAGCCCUCUGGGAAUGGUCACCAUGCAGCCUUCAGCUUUCAGUAACUCUUUCAUGAGUCAACAUUGUAAUUUUCCUGCUGAUCAAACUAACAUGUUUCAUUCUAAUCAAGAGAAGAACUUGUUUGGGCAAGUCCACGCCGAAGGUUUACAUAGUGCAGUUUUGCCUGGAAACUACUCUGAGCAAGGAAUAGCAGCUCAGGAAUUUGAAGGGAGGCAUGAAGAUGCAGACUUUGGCAUGUCUGUGGUGGAUGAUUCCCUAGACCCAUUGGAACAGAAGAUAUUGUAUAAUACAGAUGACGACAGCUGGGGAUCAUUCAGCAGAUGCAGCAAAGGGAGUACAGGAGGCUUUGCGGGUAUGAUGGAAAACAUGUCUGACAUAGAUGGAUUGCCUUCUAUACAAAGUGGCAGCUGGAGCGCUCUAAUGCAAUCUGCCCUUGAAGAAACAUCUGGAAAUGAUCCCGGGGUACAGGAAGAAUGGAGUGGAUUGAGUUUCCAGAAUCCAGAACCAUCAAAUGACAACCAGCACAUGAAGUCCAAUGAUAGCAAAAGGUUGCAAAAUAGUUGGGUUAACAGAAACUUGCCAAAUACCGUCUCUCCAAGUUGUAAGCCACAGCAAUUGGCCCAGAAUUUCAAUUUGAACUCCAGCUUUGCUAAUUUUCAGCAACCAGGUUACCAGUAUCAGAACCAGAAAGAGGAAUAUCACUCUGAGUCUUCUCAUGCCACUACUCAGAACUCUCCUAGAAGUACGAGCCUGCUGGCUGACUAUAACUCUCAACAGAAGUGCCCUAGUGGAAGGGCACCGGUGAUUCAGACAUCUUUGCCAUUGCCACAUAUUUGGCCUGUUAAACAUAAGGAGAACCCAAAUAAUGACACACAUGAGCCUAGCCUGUUGUCAUGCACUGAUAACAACCGGCUGUUCAAUGAAUUAUCUGGUCAAGAAUUCAAAGGUGCUUUUUGGCUUCAAGGAAGUGCAUCACAUCAUGUGCCUGGUGGCAUUCAAAAGCCAUACGAUCAGGUGAACCAGAUAAAUUCUCAUGGGUACUCGGUUGAUCCAGAGAAUAUGACUGCUCCAAGUGAAAGUAUGAUUGAGCUACUUAACAAGGAGGAUACAUCCAACGAUCAAGCAUCAGUGAUGCAAUUGAACUUGAAAGACUCAAAUCCUACAGAAUUUGGUUCAAGUAACACUUCUGGUGCAAUUUUCGCCAGACCAUGCAGGCCUUCAGAUCCUCAAACUUCGACACACUCAGUUUUCCCAUCCUCAUCCAUGGUCGCCUCUAGUGCAACGUCUCUAUCAAGUCAUAUUGUGAACAAUCAUGUUGAAAACCAACAUCCAACUUCACCUUUUCCUAGUCACAUGACUCUCAGAAAUGCUGAAGCCCCACUUUCUGGUCAACCCUCUUUGAUGUCAGAUAGGCUGCAGCAUGUGGAAUUUCAGAUGGGGAAACAUACUCAAUGGCAGGGUAUGUCCUCUCAGCAAGACACAACUUCCCCGAAACCUCUCAUAUUUUCGUCUAGUUUGUUUGGGUCGCCUAAUUCAGCAUCUAGCAGUAUAAGGACUAGCUCAGAAGCUCCAAAUGAACAGCACUAUCAGAAUUAUCCUGAACAUGCAUACAAUGCAAAACAAUAUUCAGGGAAUUUAGCUGGGCUUGAUCAGCGAUUAGAGAAAGGAAGCUCUAUUAAUGAAGGGUCAACUGAUAUAAAUAGCUCCACAUCCCUCAGCAGUGAACUUCAAAAGCAAGAACUUAGAGAGCAUGGCUCGGAAGCAGGUGCUAUUGGGUCUGGUUCAUUGACUACUGAUGAUGGUAAGAGCUUCGUUCCUAAACAUGAUGGUGUAAACUAUCAGCAUCCAAGUGCCAAUCUAGAGGGGCUGCUUUUGAGUGGACAUGAUUCUAGAAACGAAGGUGUACCAAAAACUGACUCGAAUGCAGCAUCAUGUCUUGGCGCGUAUUCAUCUGGAGAUAAUGAGGGAUGUAAACUCUCCCAAGGGGUCCAAGGCGAUCAGUCUGGCAAAGCUUUGUUGACAUCUUACCCUCAGAAUUUCCAGCAGAAUAUUCUUUCCCAAAAUGAUAUGCUGACAUGUUCAGGAGGUAGUAACGGAGCUUCUAAUGCGGUACAUGCAUCACAGAUCAGUUUGCCAAUGGUCCAAUCCUGGUUUAAGCAGUAUGAGACCUUGAAGAACGGACAGAGGUUUCCAAUUUAUGAUUCAAGAGCUGCAAUUCAUGCCACACAACUAUCCUCGGAUACGACUCUGGGAAACUUGCAGGAUAACAGUUUAAGUAUGCAAGUAAAUUUGGCUAAUGCCAGUCAAGGAAGUGGCUUACUUUCACCUGCCUCUGCAAACCCUGUCCUGUAUAAACAUUUAAACCCCCCUUCUAUGUUGCCAUCAAAUGCCAAUCACCAAAGUUUAGCUGUUACAUUGGAGAAGAAACGGAAACUUAUUGCAUUGACCAUGAUACCCUGGCACAAGGAAGUUUAUUGUGAUGAGUCGAAGCCCCAAGAUAUCAGCACCGCUGAGUUAUCAUGGGCACAAGCUGCAAACAGAAGAGAAGAAGAGGUGAUAUCUGAGGCUGAAAUUAUAGAGGAGUUGCACCCAGUGAUUCAAGCCAAAAGACGGCUGAUUUGCUGUACACAACUUAUGCAGCAAGUCUUUCGACCUGCACCAUCAGUUAUUAUUUGUAUGGAUUCCAGUUCAAAUUGUGAUUAUAUAGCAUAUUAUGCUGCUAGAUUAGCAUUAGGAGAUGCAUGUAGCUUGACCAGCCAAUUGCCUCUCAACUCCAUGGAUGUGUCAGAUUCACUUGACAAACCUAAAACUUCAAGGAGAGCAGAUGGUUGCAAGUUCUCUAAAGUCGUGGAAGGUAUUAUUUGUCGAGCAAAGAAGCUUCAAGAUGAUUUAACGAGGCUGGAAAAAAGUCUAUCGAGUGUAGACAUCAAAGUGGAAACCCAGGAACUGGAGAAAUUUUCUACCAUCAACCGCUUCGCGAAGUUCCACAUCAGGGCACAUCCGAGUUCAGCAGCCUCCUCUGGCACAUCAACUUUGCACAAAAUGCUCCCUCAAAGAUUCGUAGUAGGGCGUCCAAUGCCUGAGAUAUUACCAGAAGGCAUGGACUGUCUUUCCUUGUAAUCCGAAACGAAAUAGAAACAUCCGCUCCUGCCAUGUUUCCUCUUCUACACAAGUUGCUCCUUAUACGAAGAUCUGUGGUUGUGACCAAUUAAAAUCGACCGGAGGAGACAAAAUUCCCUGGAGAUGAAUACAAUUUAGACCAGCAUCACAGGAGCAUCUGAUUGGGUCGUAUGUGAGAGAAAGAGCUUUUUUGGCAUUCUCUUGUAACUACCAAAUACGAGCAUCAUUGUUUAUCCUAUUGGAAUCUGCGGAGUUAUGAAAAUCAAGAAGACAAAUGUUUGGUCAAUUUUGUGCAUGAAAAUAAUGUUUUUGUGAUUGGUGGGCACAGGUUGUCUUGUAAUAAUUCUGCAAUCCUACGCUUUUGGCGGCUUACAGCAGCCAG